UACGUAGGGUGCGAGCGUUGUCCGGAAUUAUUGGGCGUAAAGAGCUCGUAGGCGGUUUGUUGCAUCGGCUGUGAAAACCUGCGGCUUAACUGUGGGCUUGCAGUCGAUACGGGCAGACUUGAGUUCGGCAGGGGAGACUGGAUUUCCUGGUGUAGCGGUGAAAUGUGUAGAGAUCGGGAGGAACACCGGUGGCGAAGGCGGGUCUCUGGGCAAUUCCUGACGCUGAGGCGCGAAAGCGUGGGGAGCAAACGGG
rnacentral:rRNA from 1 species